UACGUAGGGUGCAAGCGUUGUCCGGAAUUAUUGGGCGUAAAGAGCUCGUAGGCGGUCUGUCGCGUCGGAUGUGAAAACUCGGGGCUCAACCCCGAGCCUGCAUUCGAUACGGGCAGACUAGAGUUCGGUAGGGGAGACUGGAAUUCCUGGUGUAGCGGUGAAAUGCGCAGAUAUCAGGAGGAACACCAAUGGCGAAGGCAGCUCGCUGGGACGUUACUGACGCUGAGACGCGAAAGCGUGGGGAGCAAACAGG
rnacentral:rRNA from 1 species